rnacentral:rRNA from 1 species
UGGGGAAUAUUGCACAAUGGGCGCAAGCCUGAUGCAGCCAUGCCGCGUGUGUGAAGAAGGCCUUCGGGUUGUAAAGCACUUUCAGUGAGGAGGAAGAACAUAGCUUUAAUAGAGGUGUGUUUUGACGUUACUCACAGAAGAAGCACCGGCUAACUCCGUGCCAGCAGCCGCGGUAAUACGGAGGGUGCAAGCGUUAAUCGGAAUUACUGGGCGUAAAGCGCACGCAGGCGGUUUGUUAAGUCAGAUGUGAAAUCCCCGCGCUUAACGUGGGAACUGCAUUUGAAACUGGCAAGCUAGAGUCUUGUAGAGGGGGGUAGAAUUCCAUGUGUAGCGGUGAAAUGCGUAGAGAUGUGGAGGAAUACCGGUGGCGAAGGCGGCCCCCUGGACAAAGACUGACGCUCAGGUGCGAAAGCGUGGGGAGCAAACAGG